AUUGAACGCUGGCGGCAUGCCUUACACAUGCAAGUCGAACGGUAACAGGUUAAGCUGACGAGUGGCGAACGGGUGAGUAAUAUAUCGGAACGUGCCCAGUCGUGGGGGAUAACUGCUCGAAAGAGCAGCUAAUACCGCAUACGACCUGAGGGUGAAAGCGGGGGAUCGCAAGACCUCGCGCGAUUGGAGCGGCCGAUAUCAGAUUAGGUAGUUGGUGGGGUAAAGGCCCACCAAGCCAACGAUCUGUAGCUGGUCUGAGAGGACGACCAGCCACACUGGGACUGAGACACGGCCCAGACUCCUACGGGAGGCAGCAGUGGGGAAUUUUGGACAAUGGGCGCAAGCCUGAUCCAGCCAUGCCGCGUGCGGGAAGAAGGCCUUCGGGUUGUAAACCGCUUUUGUCAGGGAAGAAAAGGUUCUGGUUAAUACCUGGGACUCAUGACGUACCUGAAGAUAGCCCCG
rnacentral:rRNA from 1 species